UCUAACGUGGCAGAUAAGUGCGGUGGAUUUAAGCCCCAUAAAUAAAGUUUAAACUUUCAUUAGAA
rnacentral:tRNA from 1 species